rnacentral:tRNA from 1 species
GCAGGAGUGGCGGAAUUGGCAGACGCACUACUUUGAGGUGGUAGCGGGCGAAAGCUUGUGUGGGUUCAAGUCCCGUCUCCUGCACCA